UAGCGCGAGGGGUGGGGAGCCGCGCGUUCCCGGAAACUUUUCCCUCGAGUCUUGACCGCCGCCGCCCGCCCCCGGGAGCGCGGAGCUGGGCGCGCCCGUCUCCGGCCGGCGGUCGGCGCGCUCGGCUGGGGCCGCCGCGAAGGAACAGAACCGGAGAAGGGGACGCGCGGGGAGGCAGCGCCCGGGGCGGCGGGCAGCGGGGGGAGGCUGCGCGCAGGUCCCCGGCCAGAGGGAGGCGCGGGCACCGGGCCAGGCGGAGCCGAGACAGCCAUGGAGGAGGCGCCCAGCCCCGCGCCCGCGCUCUGGAACUGGGACUACCUGGACCAUUGCUUCGCCCGCCACCGUGUCUGCAUCUCCUUCGGCCUGUGGAUCUGCGCCUUUUCCUGCUGGAUCGCCGUCCACGCGCUGCUUCUCUAUCUGAGAUGUGGGAAGAAAUCCGGACGGGACCAGUCGGCGCUGUGUGCUGCCUGCUGCCUCCUGACCAGCCUGUGUGACACCAUCGGGGCGAUUCUGGCCAAACAGCUCACCAUCCAGGUCUUCACUGGUGCCUACCUAGCAGCUGUUGACCUGGUGAACUUUGUGUCCAUUCUCUUCCCAGUCUGCAGCUCCAAAGUCAAGUCCAGUUCAGGUCGGGGCUCCCGGGAGAGAAAGAGGAGGCGGCAGCUCAGGGCCAGCAUAUUUGCCCUGGUCCUGCCGCUGAGCCUGGGCCCAGGCUGGGCUCUGUGGGCCGCUGUCCCGAAGGCUUCAGGCCCCAUCCGAGGGCCACAGCGGAGGCUGCUGGGAAGCCUGGUACAGGACAAUACUGAAAUCCUUGGCUACCUGCUGGGCGGCAUCGCAGCCUUGGGCUCCUGGGCUUCCCGGAUCCCCCAACUCUCCAGAAUCUGCUGGGGUAGGACAUUUCCCUCCAUCUACCUGUGGACCCGGCUCCUGUCGGCCCUGGCUGGCCUCCUCUACGCCUCGGCUAUCGUGGCCCAUGACCGGCGGCCUGAAUACCUGCUACGGGCCACACCCUGGUUCCUGACCUCCCUCGGCCGUGCAGCGCUGGACCUCGCCAUCAUUUUCCUUUCCUGGGUGAUGAAGAGCAAGAUGAGGCACGCCUUGGGAUUUGCCUCUGAAGCCAGAGAGAACGCCGACACCCAAGCCCUUUUGACCUGUGCAGAGAAGGAGGAAGAAAACCAGGAAGCAAGGACCGAGAAUUCGGACUGGGUGCCUCUCACCACGCUACCGUACUGCAAGCCCCUCAAGAGGAUGGCAGCCGUCAGCCGCUACCUGGAGCUGACCAUCGAGCCUGUGCAGCGAGCUGCAGCGCCACCAGGCUGCCUGGAGAUGGACAGACAAGCACGGGGGCCACGUCCCUGCAGGAGCCCCCCUCGUACCCUCCGGUUCAGGUCAUCCGGGCGCGCGUGUCCUCCAGUAGCUCCUCCCAGGUCUCCUCCAUCAACUCUGACCUCGAGCAGAAGUAUUGGGAAGCCCUAAACUCGGAGCAGUGGGAUCCUGAAGACGUAAACCUUGGAGGGAACAAAGACAACAUGGAGAUAUUCAGACCCCGGGUGCACAGGUGGUCUAUGAAGCCAGUGGACUUGAUCUCUGAUAAGUAACACUUUCUGGAGCCAGCUCAGCAGCUCAGAGCCCAAGGUCAAGGUUUUGUCAGGAACUGGACAGGGAUCAACCUGCAGAGACAGCCAUGGCAGGAAUUUAAGCUUCUGUCAAGGCUGCCCAUGAAAGUGAGGAACCAGGAGCUGUCACGGAGCUUGGCUGGUCUGCACCACGGCUCAGAAUGGAGCUAAGACCUUGGGCCCCGUGGACAGACCUGCACACACCCAGAGUUUGUUCUGAAAAUUCAAAGUUCACAAACCAAUCUUGCUUUGAAAUAUAGUCUAAAAUAGUUUGGCCUCUCUUUUCCCUUUCCCUUUGGAUUCAACCCUACUCUGAAUAUCUGCUACAAACGAGUUCAUCUAACAAACAGCUAAUAUGUUUGGAUCUUAGGAAAUCCCCACUCCGUAAGACCUGGCUAAGCCUAGAGAGGGGUGGGCCCGCGUUUGGGGGUUUGGGACACAAUCACAGGUUCUGAUGGGACCUGGCUCCUGCCCUCCAGUCACCCACUUGAGUUUUCUGCUAGAAGUUGAGAGAGGACUGUUCGAUCAACCAAGUGUUUGCAAGGUCACUGGUAUUGCAAGGGUGAGCAAAGCAAAGUGCUCUAGGUACCAGGACUUGCUCCAGCCUGGCCCAGUGUGUGCUGGGCUAGGGUCUGCAGGUGAAGGGGACCGUCUGCUUCAGGAGGUAACUGAAAGCAUGCAAAGGGUAAGAGGCAUGGUGGGAGGGGCUCGAUUCAGGCACCGAAAUCCCCUCUCAGGAUUAUUUUGGAGCUAAGGUGGGAGGAACGCUGCAAUGAAUAAACCCUGAUUGAGUGAACUGAAGUAUCUCACCAUGGAGCACAGAGAUACAUCUGAAUCCCAGCACAGCCACAGAAGUUGGCCACCAGGGGACCUGGGAGAAAUGCCAAGAAACACAGCUCUGCUCCUAGCCGGCCCCUGGCAGCCUGUGUGACUCAGCUGCAGCUGCCCAGUUGCUCCUGAGGGGUAGUGCAAGUCCCAGCAGCAUGAAAGAGGGGGUGCCUCAGGGAAGCAGGUUGUUCCACAGGUCUCUGCACAGAUUCCAAUCCCCUGCAUGAUCUCUGAACUAGAAGUGAACCUAAAGCCACCCUAUUUAUCCAACUGCUUUGGAUCCUGGUUGUCUUUUAAUGGAGUCUGCUAAAGUCAAUUUUGCUCUGUGAUCUUAAUCACUGAAGCUGUACUUUGAGGGAAGAUGAAACUUUUAACUGGGGACAGGGGGAGGUUGGGAGAACAUUCCAGCAGAUGAAAGCACACAGAGGAUUGGAAGCAGGGAAGGGGGGACUCUAGCUAAGGAAAGAGGACUCUGAUGUGGCCAGAAUGGGUGUAGGGGGUGGGUGAAGAGGCUGGAAAGGAACCUGGGAGUUGGUGCUUAAUUCUUUGGCUGACUGGUAGCUGUUGCAAGAUACAGAGUAGGAAGCUGACUGACAUGCCUCAGGUGGGCCCCAGCUGAUCGGUGAGUUUUACAUCCCUGCAGCCACGACUUUUCAAGAAGCAGAAAUGUACAGUCAUGGAUACAGUACCAACUUGGGGAACAUGUUGAAUUUGAUUAGUAACAGCAGGGCAGGAGGAGGGCUCAUCUUUGGAAAAGCAGAAGGCCUGGGGAUAGGAUGACAUCCCUGGAGUUUGUCUUUAGCACAUCGCCCCUCCCGACGGGAGGCUGGCUCAUGUCCCUGGGGCACCAGAAAUUGGUUGGAUCCUAAUGGAAAUGGCCAUUCACUCAAGAACAUCAAAUGCUCUCGCUGGCUUUGAGCAGCACGAACUACUUGAGCUCCAGAUGUUAACCAUCUCUCUAGAUCCCAUCGUCCCUGCCUCUUCCUUCACAAACCAGUUGUUAUCGUGUCCAAGCUGGUCUCAAAAUGGGAUCUCAGAGUGAACUUUUAAACUGACAAUUUUGGCAGCAAAGUUUGGCCUCGUCGUUCAAUGAGAAUCUGCCUGUUAUGCAAAGCUCUGGAACUCUGGAGCCUUUGGGAAGAGAUGCCAACCCAAAUGCCUUCCUCCCAGCAGGAGUGUUCCCACCCUGGGCCUCCACUGCAGCUUCAUCCCUAGCCGUUAGUCAGACCAGGAGGAUAACGGGAGUUACUUUCCCUGAAGACCCACUGAGCAGCGCAAGGGGGUUACCUACACUAGGGAGAAGCUGGGGGAACCAACUGUGUCAUCAUCCUCUCCUGCCCACUCAUCUGGAGGUGUCCUAGUAUUUGGGGCGUCUCCAGUGCAAGUCUGAGAAAUUUUCUAAACCCACAGCUGGAACAAGGGCUCUCGUACACUGCAGCUGCCACAAUCUUUCCCAAGGGCAGCCUGACCACGUGUGAGAAGAGCUAUCCCAUAGGCCUUUCCUCUGACCAGCACUUGCACUUUGGAAUAUGUAGGUCCUCAAGCUCUGAUGUGUGUGAUAUCUGUUCAAAUAUGGGCUCUUAGUCUCCACUCCAGGGUUUCCUAGAUCUGGGCAGGGUCUGGGAAUCUUUGACAAGCUCCUCAGGUGAUUCUUUGAGAGCACUGCCCUCAGGAAGUUACUUUUAAAGUGAUCUAUUUGUAUGAGAUGUUCUCAUAAAACUAUUUAGAAUAGGGGGAAAAAAAGUGAUAAAGCCCCAAAACUCCACUUGUUCGGAAAGAUUAAACAUUAUAGUUUCAUGAAGAAAUGCUAUUUUGGCAUUAAACCUAAAAGAUUACAGACCUGUAGACUGAGGAACAGACUUGAAUUACCUUGAAAUCAUCUACUUCAGUGCCUGAGCGGCCUGCUCAUUCUCACAACACGAAUUCCCAGUUCUAACAUGGGAAGAAAAAUCUGCAGAAGACAAUGUCAGGUAAUAAAGUAGAAUCCAAGAGAGCGUGUGCCACCAUCAGCAAUUAUUUUCAAAACACUGUGUACUGACAAUAUCAGAUGAGUCUUACUGUGAGACUUUCCAUAGUCAGGGGAUUAUGUGGAUUCUUGUACUAGUGGUUUCUGACUGUGGAAGCAGUUGAAUACAUCCCCCAAUUAAAAAAUAGUUCCCCCUAAAUUCCCUUUCCUUUCAAGCUUGCAGCAUAAAACU